AUUUAAAUAGCUUAUAUUUAGAGUUUAAUAUUGAAGAUAUUAAGGAAAUUGAUUAAUUUUUAAAUA
rnacentral:tRNA from 1 species